GGUCAUUUAGAGNAAGUAAAAGUCGUAACAAGGUCUCCGUUGGUGAACCAGCGGAGGGAUCAUUACCGAGUUUACAACUCCCAAACCCCUGUGAACAUACCAAUUGUUGCCUCGGCGGAUCAGCCCGCUCCCGGUAAAACGGGACGGCCCGCCAGAGGACCCCUAAACUCUGUUUCUAUAUGUAACUUCUGAGUAAAACCAUAAAUAAAUCAAAACUUUCAACAACGGAUCUCUUGGUUCUGGCAUCGAUGAAGAACGCAGCAAAAUGCGAUAAGUAAUGUGAAUUGCAGAAUUCAGUGAAUCAUCGAAUCUUUGAACGCACAUUGCGCCCGCCAGUAUUCUGGCGGGCAUGCCUGUUCGAGCGUCAUUUCAACCCUCAAGCCCAGCUUGGUGUUGGGACUCGCGAGUCAAAUCGCGUUCCCCAAAUUGAUUGGCGGUCACGUCGAGCUUCCAUAGCGUAGUAGUAAAACCCUCGUUACUGGUAAUCGUCGCGGCCACGCCGUUAAACCCCAACUUCUGAAUGUUGACCUCGGAUCAGGUAGGAAUA
rnacentral:rRNA from 1 species